rnacentral:rRNA from 1 species
GACGAACGCUGGCGGCGUGCUUAACACAUGCAAGUCGAACGGUAAGGCCCUUCGGGGUACACGAGUGGCGAACGGGUGAGUAACACGUGGGGCAUCUGCCCUGCACUUCGGGAUAAGCCUGGGAAACUGGGUCUAAUACCGGAUAGGACUCCGGACUGCAUGGUCUGGGGUGGAAAGCUUUUGCGGUGUGGGAUGGGCCCGCGGCCUAUCAGCUUGUUGGUGGGGUGAUGGCCUACCAAGGCGACGACGGGUAGCCGGCCUGAGAGGGUGACCGGCCACACGGGAACUGAGAUACGUCCCAGACUCCUACGGGAGGCAGCAGUGGGGUAUAUUGCACAAUGGGCGCAAGCCUGAUGCAGCGACGCCGCGUGAGGGAUGACGGCCUUCGGGUUGUAAACCUCUUUCAGCAUCGACGAAGCGAAAGUGACGGUAGGUGUAGAAGAAGGACCGGCCAACUACGUGCCAGCCGCCGCCGUAA